GGGGAUUAGCUCAGCUGGCUAGAGCGCCUGCCUUGCACGCAGGAGGUCAUCGGUUCGACUCCGAUAUUCUCCA
rnacentral:tRNA from 6 species